rnacentral:rRNA from 1 species
GAUGAACGCUGGCGGCGUGCCUAAUACAUGCAAGUCGAGCGAACGGACGAGAAGCUUGCUUUUCUGAUGUUAGCGGCGGACGGGUGAGUAACACGUGGAUAACCUACCUAUAAGACUGGGAUAACUUCGGGAAACCGGAGCUAAUACCGGAUAAUAUUUUGAACCGCAUGGUUCAAAAGUGAAAGACGGUCUUGCUGUCACUUAUAGAUGGAUCCGCGCUGCAUUAGCUAGUUGGUAAGGUAACGGCUUACCAAGGCAACGAUGCAUAGCCGACCUGAGAGGGUGAUCGGCCACACUGGAACUGGGCCACGGUCCAGACUCCUACGGGAGGCAGCAGUAGGGAAUCUUCCGCAAUGGGCGAAAGCCUGGCGGAGCAACGCCGCGUGAGUGAUGAAGGUCUUCCGAUCGUAAAACUCUGUUAUUAGGGAAGAACAUAUGUGUAAGUAACUGUGCACAUCUUGACGGUACCUAGUCAGAAAGCCACGGCUAACUACGUG